rnacentral:rRNA from 1 species
UGAGGAAUAUUGGGCAAUGCCCGCAAGGGUGACCCAGCAACGCCGCGUGGAGGAUGAAUGUCGUAAGAUUGUAAACUCCUGUUAGAGGGGAAGAAUAGUACCGGUUGGACCGGUAUAUGACUGUACCCUCAGAGAAAGCCCCGGCUAACUACGUGCCAGCAGCCGCGGUAAUACGUAGGGGGCAAGCGUUGUCCGGAUUUCCUAGGUGUAAAGGGCGCGCAGGCGGGAUAAAAAGUCAGUGGUGAAAUCCUACAGCUUAACUGUAGAACUGCCUUUGAUACUUUUAUUCUUGAGUUCGGGAGAGAGAGACGGAAUUCCAGGUGUAGUGGUGAAAUACGUAGAUAUCUGGAAGAACACCAGUUGCGAAGGCGGUCUCUUGGUCCGACACUGACGCUGAGGCGCGAAAGCGUGGGGAGCAAACA